rnacentral:rRNA from 1 species
GAUGAACGCUGGCGGCGUGCCUAAUACAUGCAAGUCGAACGCUGGAGAUCUAGCUUGCUCGAUCGAAGGAGUGGCGAACGGGUGAGUAAUACAUAAGCAACCUACCCACGAAGACUGGGAUAAUCUCUGGAAACGGGGACUAUACCGGAUAGGUAAUCGGAAGGCAUCUUCUGGUUAUUAAAGGUUAAAAACACUGGUGGAUGGGCUUAUGGCGCAUUAGUUAGUUGGUGAGGUAACGGCCCACCAAGACGAUGAUGCGUAGCCGGCCUGAGAGGGUGAACGGCCACAUUGGGACUGAGACACGGCCCAGACUCCUACGGGAGGCAGCAGUAGGGAAUUUUCGGCAAUGGGGGCAACCCUGACCGAGCAACGCCGCGUGAGUGAAGACGGCCUUCGGGUUGUAAAGCUCUGUUGUAAGGGAAGAACGGUAGAUAGAGAAUAUCUAAGUGACGGUACCUUACCAGAAAGCCACGGCUAACUACGUG